rnacentral:misc_RNA from 1 species
GCCGCGCCGUUGUCCGUGUUCGUCUCGGGACGUCCGCGACGCCGCCUUGCUCUCGGCGGCGGCCAAAUUUCCUCUCCGUCACCGCUAUGCGGGACCCGGCUCGCUCUCGCUAACGGGCCCGCUUAUAACCAGCUUCAGGGUGACGGGCGGAGGAGAGAAGCUUACGCUGACGCUCGAUCGACGAGUCGGCGCCCGUACGAAAAAAAUUGGAAAAAAAAUAACCGUGCGUUGCGCGUUAUUUUUUUUUU